rnacentral:rRNA from 1 species
UACGUAGGGCGCAAGCGUUGUCCGGAAUUAUUGGGCGUAAAGAGCUCGUAGGCGGUUUGUCGCGUCUGCUGUGAAAGCCCGGGGCUCAACCCCGGGUCUGCAGUGGGUACGGGCAGACUAGAGUGCAGUAGGGGAGACUGGAAUUCCUGGUGUAGCGGUGAAAUGCGCAGAUAUCAGGAGGAACACCGAUGGCGAAGGCAGGUCUCUGGGCUGUAACUGACGCUGAGGAGCGAAAGCGUGGGGAGCGAACAGG